GACCACAGACAUGUUACCCUGCAGCCCAAGACCGGUUACUCACUGAAGCCAAGCAGGGCUGAGCCUGGUCAGUACCUGGAUGGGAGACCACUAGGGAACACUAGGUUGCUGUUGGAA
rfam:Danio rerio chromosome 15, GRCz11 reference primary assembly.